rnacentral:snRNA from 1 species
UUUCACGGGCGAACUGGUCAUA